AUAAAUAAUUAAUUAAUAUAGAAUUAACAAUACCUCAUUGGGAGUAAAUGAUUGAAAGUUAUUGCGAAUCGGGAAGUGAGGAGGAGGAUAUCCCAUGGACCAUUGCGAAAUUGGAGCAUGGCAAGGCAAGGAGAAAAAUGGCGACAGACUAAACAAAUGUAGCAAAUAAGAAACACCGCAAUACGCCGAGAAUUGAAAACCAAACAAAACCUGAAGAAAAUGCAAGAAAUGGACAAAGCUUCUUUUCAAGUAACUAGAGGUAUCAAAAUAUGCCCUCAACUUUGUCAUGGUCUACUAUGGUGUGACUUGAAAGACGAAGGACAAAGAUUAUAUGAAGAAUGUGGAGGACUGAGCAUGAAAGAAUCAAACAUUUGUUUGUUGCACAGAAAAGAAAAAGUCUAUUGAUUGGCAAAUUGACUUCAAGCCUGUCUGCCUGACUGUUUAAUGCUUGGAAGAACUGAUCUGGAGAAGAUAAAUUCUUGGUUCUUGGGAUGGACAAAGAUCUUUGGCAUGUUAUUAGAGGUACCAAAAUUUGCCUAAAGUUGAUUAUGGUCUACUGGUGCAUGACUUGAUUAACGAGAAAGAGCAUUUCAAGAUUGUGGAAAGAAAAUAAUCUUCUUUCUGUUGUUUCAUCAAAGGACUUUACCUUUGAGAUGAGAUGCAGAUAAAACGAAAGUGUUGUUUAUAGAGGCUGAAGAGUGUCACAACAUCACUUUUGGACCCAGAUACAAGACCAAAGUCAUCUAUACCUAAUCUUGGAUGGUUAGCAUUUUGUUCAGUAGAUUGUUCCAUCUCAGCAACCAAGAUGUUGGCAUGCUCACGGUCAGGAAGUUCAUGCUCAUCCUUUGCACAACUACUUAACAAAGUUCAGGAAGGGACGAAUUUCCCUUUGAAUUUUUGUUCCAUUCCUGGAAACAGCUUUGGAAAUUCCAGCAGAGAUUUCUUUGUUCCAAACGCAAUUUCAAGUAAUAGAAGUCAAAAACGCCGGGCAGCCAUUGUUAGAGAAUGACCAUUUGCAUAUUCUAUCAUGAAAUCCUUUUCACAGCAUCACUUCUAUUUUAGCUUAUUGGCUUGCAAGUUGACUUCUUCAAGCCUUUCUGCUUGAUGUAUUACUGCUCUAAAGGACUAUUAACGAGAUGGACACAGUUCUUUGCAUGUUACUAAAGGUGUCAAAAUAUGCCCUCAAGUUGGUUAUGAUCUACUGUGGCAUGGCCAAAGAUUUUUGCAAGAUUGUGGAAAGGUAAAGCAUGGAGCAACCAGUCAGUUGAUCGUUGCACAGAGAAGAUGUAGCUAACUUUUUGCCAAAAUAGUCUUGAAGUUGGUUAUGGUCUUCUUUGGCAUGGCCAAAGAUUUUUGCAAGAUUGUGGAAAGGUAAAGCAUGGAGGAACCAGUCAGUUGAUCGUUGCACAGAGAAGAUGUAGCUAACUUUUUGCCAAAUGGUUAUGGUCUACUGUGGCAUGGCCAAAGAUUUUUGCAAGAUUGUAGAAAGGUAAAGCAUGGACCAACCAGUCAUAGGAUCGUUGCACAGAGAGGAUGAAGCCAAGUUUUUAUCAAAAUUGACUUGAAGCCUGUCUGCCUGAUCGUUUACUGCUUUGAGGAACUAUUCCAGGAGAGAUUCAACGAGCUGGACAAAGAUCUUUUGCAUGUUACUAAAGGUGUCAAAAUAUGCCCUUAAGUUGGUUAUGGUCUACUGUGGCAUGGCCAAAGAUUUUUGCAAGAUUGUGGAAAGGUAAAGCAUGGACCAACCAGUCAUAGGAUCGUUGCACAGAGAAGAUGAAGCCAAGUUUUUAUCAAAAUUGACUUGAAGCCUGUCUGCCUGAUCGUUUACUGCUUUGAAGAACUAUUUCAGGAGAGAUUCAACGAGAUGGACAAAGAUCUUUUGCAUGUUACUAAAGGUGUCAAAAUAUGCCCUUAAGUUGGUUAUGGUCUACUGUGGCAUGGCCAAAGAUUUUUGCAAGAUUGUGGAAAGGUAAAGCAUGGAGCAACCAGUCAGUUGAUCGUUGCACAGAGAAGAUGUAGCUAACUUUUUGCCAAAAUAGUCUUGAAGUUGGUUAUGGUCUGCUGUGGCAUGGCCAAAGAUUUUUGCAAGAUUGUAGAAAGGUACAGCAUGGAGCAACCAGUCAGUUGAUCGUUGCACAGAGAAGAUGUAGCUAACUUUUUGCAAAAAUUGUCUUGAAGUUGGUUAUGGUCUGCUGUGGCAUGGCCAAAGAUUUUUGCAAGAUUGUAGAAAGGUAAAGCAUGGAGCAACCAAUCAGUUGAUCGUUGCACAGAGAAGAUGUAGCUAACUUUUUGCCAAAAUUGUCUUGAAGUUGGUUAUGGUCUGCUGUGGCAUGGCCAAAGAUUUUUGCAAGAUUGUAGAAAGGUAAAGCAUGGACCAACCAGUCAUAGGAUUGUUGCACAGAGAAGAUGAAGCCAAGUUUUUUAUCAAAAUUGACUUGAAGCCUGUCUGCCUGGUCGUUUACUGCUUUGAAGAACUAUUCCAGGAGAGAUUCAACGAGCUGGACAAAGAUCUUUUGCAUAUUACUAAAGGUGUCAAAAUAUGCCCUUAAGUUGGUUAUGGUCUGCUGUGGCAUGGCCAAAGAUUUUUGCAAGAUUGUAGAAAGGUAAAGCAUGGACCAACCAGUCAUAGGAUCGUUGCACAGAGAAGAUGAAGCCAAGUUUUUAUCAAAAUUGACUUGAAGCCUGUCUGCCUGAUCGUUUACUGCUUUGAAGAACUAUUCCAGGAGAGAUUCAACGAGCUGGACAAAGAUCUUUUGCAUAUUACUAAAGGUGUCAAAAUAUGCCCUUAAGUUGGUUAUGGUCUACUGUGGCAUGGCCAAAGAUUUUUGCAAGAUUGUGGAAAGGUAAAGCAUGGAGCAACCAGUCAGUUGAUCGUUGCACAGAGAAGAUGUAGCUAACUUUUUGCCAAAUGGUUAUGGUCUUCUGUGGCAUGCCAAAGAUUUUUGCAAGAUUGUAGAAAGGUAAAGCAUGGACCAACCAGUCAUAGGAUCGUUGCACAGAGAGGAUGAAGCCAAGUUUUUAUCAAAAUUGACUUGAAGCCUGUCUGCCUGGUCGUUUACUGCUUUGAAGAACUAUUCUAGGAGAGAUUCAACGAGCUGGACAAAGAUCUUUUGCAUAUUACUAAAGGUGUCAAAAUAUGCCCUUAAGUUGGUUAUGGUCUACUGUGGCAUGGCCAAAGAUUUUUGCAAGAUUGUGGAAAGGUAAAGCAUGGAGCAACCAGUCAGUUGAUCGUUGCACAGAGAAGAUGUAGCUAACUUUUUGCCAAAAUUGUCUUGAUGUUAGUUAUGGUCCGCUGUGGCAUGGCCAAAGAUUUUUGCAAGAUUGUAGAAAGGUAAAGCAUGGAGCAACCAGUCAGUUGAUCGUUGCACAGAGAAGAUGUAGCUAACUUUUUGCCAAAAUUGUCUUGAUGUUAGUUAUGGUCCGCUGUGGCAUGGCCAAAGAUUUUUGCAAGUUUGUUGAAAGGUAAAGCAUGGAGCAACCAGUCAGUUGAUCGUUGCACAGAGAAGAUGAAGCCGAGUUUUUACAAAAUUGACUUGAAGCCUGUCUGCCUGGUCGUUUACUGCUUUGAAGAACUAUUCUAGGAGAGAUUCAACGAGCUGGACAAAGAUCUUUUGCAUAUUACUAAAGGUGUCAAAAUAUGCCCUUAAGUUGGUUAUGGUCUACUGUGGCAUGGCCAAAGAUUUUUGCAAGAUUGUGGAAAGGUAAAGCAUGGAGCAACCAGUCAGUUGAUCGUUGCACAGAGAAGAUGUAGCUAACUUUUUGCCAAAAUAGUCUUGAAGUUGGUUAUGGUCUUCUGUGGCAUGGCCAAAGACUUUUGCAAGAUUGUGGAAAGGUAAAGCAUGGACCAUACAGUCAUAAAAUCGUUGCACAGAGAAGAUGUAGCUAACUUUUUGCCAAAAUAGUCUUGAAGUUGGUUAUGGUCUUCUGUGGCAUGGCCAAAGAUUUUUGCAAGAUUGUGGAAAGGUAAAGCAUGGACCAACCAGUCAUAGGAUCGUUGCACAGAGAAGAUGAAGCCGAGUUUUUACAAAAUUGACUUGAAGCCUGUCUGCCUGAUCGUUUACUGCUUUGAAGAACUAUAUCAGGAGAGAUUCAACGAGAUGGACAAAGAUCUUUAGCAUGUUACUAAAGGUGUCAAAAUAUGCCCUGAAGUUGGUUAUGGUCUGCUGUUGCAUGGCCAAAGAUUUUUGCAAGAUUGUGGAAAGGUAAAGCAUGGAGCAACCAGUCAGUUGAUCGUUGCACAGAGAAGAUGUAGCUAACUUUUUGCCAAAAUUGUCUUGAAGUUGGUUAUGGUCUGCUGUGGCAUGGCCAACGAUUUUUGCAAGAUUGUGGAAAGGUAAAGCAUGGAGCAACCAGUCAGUUGAUCGUUGCACAGAGAAGAUGUAGCUAACUUUUUGCCAAAUAGUUAUGGUCUGCUGUGGCAUGCCAAAGAUUUUUGCAAGAUUGUAGAAAGGUAAAGCAUGGACCAACCAGUCAUAGGAUCGUUGCACAGAGAAGAUGAAGCCAAGUUUUAAUCAAAAUUGACUUGAAGCCUGUCUGCCUGAUCGUUUACUGCUUUGAAGAACUAUUCCAAGAGAUAUUCAACGAGCUGGACAUAGAUCUUUUGCAUAUUACUAAAGGUGUCAAAAUAUGCCCUUAAGUUGGUUAUGGUCUACUGUGGCAUGGCCAAAGAUUUUUGCAAGAUUGUGGAAAGGUAAAGCAUGGAGCAACCAGUCAGUUGAUCGUUGCACAGAGAAGAUGUAGCUAACUUUUUGCCAAAAUAGUCUUGAAGUUGGUUAUGGUCUUCUGUGGCAUGGCCAAAGACUUUUGCAAGAUUUUGGAAAGGUAAAGCAUGGACCAUACAGUCAUAAAAUCGUUGCACAGAGAAGAUGUAGCUAACUUUUUGCCAAAAUAGUCUUGAAGUUGGUUAUGGUCUUCUUUGGCAUGGCCAAAGAUUUUUGCAAGAUUGUGGAAAGGUAAAGCAUGGACCAACCAGUCAUAGGAUCGUUGCACAGAGAAGAUGAAGCCGAGUUGUUACAAAAUUGACUUGAAGCCUGUCUGCCUGAUCGUUUACUGCUUUGAAGAACUAUAUCAGGAGAGAUUCAACGAGCUGGACAAAGAUCUUUUGCAUGUUACUAAAGGUGUCAAAAUAUGCCCUUAAGUUGGUUAUGGUCUACUGUGGCAUGGCCAAAGAUUUUUGCAAGAUUGUGGAAAGGUAAAGCAUGGAGCAACCAGUCAGUUGAUCGUUGCACAGAGAAGAUGUAGCUAACUUUUUGCCAAAAUAGUCUUGAAGUUGGUUAUGGUCUGCUGUGGCAUGGCCAAAGAUUUUUGCAAGAUUGUAGAAAGGUAAAGCAUGGAGCAACCAGUCAGUUGAUCGUUGCACAGAGAAGAUGUAGCUAACUUUUUGCCAAAUGGUUAUGGUCUGCUGUGGCAUGCCAAAGAUUUUUGCAAGAUUGUAGAAAGGUAAAGCAUGGACCAACCAGUCAUAGGAUCGUUGCACAGAGAAGAUGAAGCCAAGUUUUAAUCAAAAUUGACUUGAAGCCUGUCUGCCUGAUCGUUUACUGCUUUGAAGAACUAUUCCAAGAGAUAUUCAACGCCUACAAAAUUUGGUCUACAAAGUCAUGAACGAAGAUGCACAAGGAGAAGGUGCACAAGAAGAAGGUGCACAAGAAGAUGUUCACAAGAAGAUGUUCACAAGAAGAGGAGCAGAGAAGAUGGACUGAAGUACUCUUGAGAAAAUGGAAGAUUGUUAUUAAAGUCUUACAUGUACACACAAAAAAGAUUGUGAAUGGAUUAGAAAUGCAGUAUUUGCUGGCAAGUUAUUGGUUCCAAAACGCUCAUUAGAGCAAAUUUUGAUUUUUUCCCAGUGGGUAUGCUUGAUGGCAUUUUGAUACUUUACAUAAAGUUCCAUCCUUUUGCGCGUUUGGAGAAGUAAGCGUGUAAAGGGUCAUUUGAAGGAUCUAAAGCGCGUAGGUUUUCACGUUGGGCAAGGUAAAGCGGUUACUGGAAUGUCUUUGUGCAUGUAUCGACACUUUCAGUAUUGGACAGUGAUAGGCAACUGUUGGUUCACUCUGUUUAAAUAUGCUUGCCAGCAUUUACUGUAUUUUUUCUCCACCAUAUCAUAGGGGAAAGGUCGUUUGAGCAGCUUUUUCUUAAGCCCAACCAUGUCUUUUUCAAUUUUAAGGUCUAGUUAAGAUGAGGCUAAGGUGCGAAUAGGCUCUAUAGUUAACAUGAUUUCUAAUUUGAUUUUUAUGAAAAUGAUAACUGCUUGUGCUUCAUACCAACAAAGUUUCCCUAAAACAAUUCUAAGUUUACUUAUUGGAAAAGUUUUUAAGGGAGUUAAAAAAUAUUUUGCUAACCACCUAGCCUAUCACUAUUUUUGCUUUAUCAGCUGGAAAAUACUUAAGCAAAAAUGAAGGAAAUUUGUAUAACCGUAUCAUAGGCUCCGCGCUUGCAUUAAGAAUUUAGGCACCUUGAUUUAUUAGAACUGUUUCUUUACAUCCAUUUCCUAUCUAUAACCCUGACUCUUCCUUCGAUGUUUUUUCUAGAUCGUUUUCAAUAGGAUAAUAAUAAGGAUAAGAAUCAACAAUCUUUAUUUGCAAAGACAAAUAUCAUGAUUAAGUUUGAAUUUAGGAUCAUGAACUAUUUUGCAAAGAAAAACAAUUGUCGUAAGUAAGGAAAAGCUGCUUGAAUGACCAACUUAGAACUUCUUACCAGUCAGCUGAAUUUCACUUUAAAGGGAUGGGACCCUCAAGUCUUUAGGCUAAAUUGCUGUGACGUCAUGUGCCUGUAGCCUGGUGCCUGUGCUUCAAACUGGAUCAAAGAUGUUACACUGAUGUUACGAAACCAAUGUAUGCCUUGCAGCUGGACAGACACCCGCCAUUUACAAUCAGAUUUCAGUUUGGAAAAUAUAAGGAAGUCGUGAAAGAAUUCUUCCCCAGGGAUGUUAACAGAAGGGUCGUGAGAGCAAUUUUGGACAGCAACAAGAAUGGCACCUAGAACUGGUGAACGGACAAAGGCAACAUGGACUAAGGACCACUUGUUCAAAGGAUGGUCAAUUCAUAUACACCCUCUCUUCAACUCUCUCUCUGAUAUCAAACUAUAAUUCUUUUAGUCUUUUCUUACUCGUAUUUCCUUCCAUCUUUCUUUCUAUUAUUUCUUGCCCCUUAAGUUUUUGGUACAAUAAGAUUCAAUA